UUUAAAAUAGGCAAGGAAACACAGAAGUUAUUAAUAAACAUUAAAUGUCAGCCUACUGUUUGAUGUAUUGGUAUCCAUAAAUGGCAGGAUACCAGAGAGUCAGUGGGCAUAUCAAUCUAAUAAACUUUUGUAAAUGAUGAAUUGGUUGUAAACACUGUGUUUUAUAGCAUUCGAAAAUUCCAAAUGGUAAAUCCACACACGAGGUUUCUGCUCACAUAUUUCAUGAUCCCCGUUUUUAGAAUCUGCACAAAGAAAUAUUUCAUGUCCUUUAGGGAGGUUUAAUAAAAAACAACAGGUGGGAAAUGGGUUUUGCAGUAGCACGAACGACCAUAACCAUAAAUACUGGUACCUCAGAAUUAUAGCAGUGGAUGACUGUAAACACAUUAAUCACCCAACAGUGCAGAAAUUCCAUCCUCAGAUGUCAUCUCAAUUUCAGGCACAAAGAUUAAAUGCUUCCAUUUAAAUUCAGAAUACUGACUGGAUACGAUGAUCCUUUAUUUUCAUGGGGAAUCAUGGAGUGAGGUCGCUAGUUUCCUCAUCUAUAAAAUGGGGUUGAUAAAUCUCAUCUCUGUAUCGUGGGAUUAAAUGAGGUGGUAUAUGUAAAAUGCCUAAUAUGUGGAUGGUACAUAGUCUGUUCAACAAAUUGUAGCUUCCCUUGCGUAUUAUGUUUGUGAUGACUUUGAUGGCCUUAAGAUUUCAGGACUAGAAGCUACUUAGAGAGUUAUUUUCGAAAUAAAUUCACCAUUAUUUCACAAAUGAGGAAACUGAGACCCAGAGGGCAAUGAGGCCACUUUCUUCCAGAGUUGGGACUUGCCCUGUCCUUCCUCAGGUCCUACCGGGUGCCUCUUCUGGAUCCAGGCUGAGUGAUGGCAUUGGGUGCCUGCUGUGCAGUAGCAGCUGUGACCAAGCUCUCCUGCAGAACUGCAUGGGGCACAUCUACCUCCUGGGAACUCUGUCCCCCUUCCUCACUGGGAGCCCAGUUCUCCGCCUCCCUCCCCGAUAGGUGUGGCAAUCGCGCUGUCUUCCAGUUGGUCCUCUUUCACUGCAUCAGCAUUUCAGCUGCUGCAGCCUGCUCCGGGCAGAGCUGGGUUUCCUGUGCUGAGGACUGUUUUGGGAAAGGGAAUGUAAGGGCACUUCAGCUGCUGUGUUGGGGCUGACAGUUGGGAGCACGCAGGAGAGAUGCCCCACCCACCCCCCAGGUGUGGGCAGACUGGAGUUUUAUGUGGAAUAUGAGGCCAUGUAGCGUGGUGAUACCAGUAAGCAGUGAAUUGGUCAGACUGCAGAGGGCAAGAGAAAAAUGGUCCACGUCGAAUUGGCUUGACUGUAACUGGAGAAGCCCCACAGCUGAGAAAGUUAACAGUACCAACAAUCAAUUUACAGAGUCUUUUUAAAGAAGUACAGUUUGUCAUCUUUUUCUGGAUUUAACUAUAUAAUCACUAUAUGAACGUAAAAAUCAAAAAAAUGUAUGGAAGGGAAAAUAAAGUUGUGUGUAACAGUCCA